UAUUUUUCCCCGGGAAAAAUUAUACAUUCAAUAAGCGGAGGAAAAGAAACUAACAAGGAUUCCCCUAGUAACUGCGAGUGAAGCGGGAAAAGCUCAAAUUUAAAAUCUGGUGGUCUUUGGCCAUCCGAGUUGUAAUUUAGAGAAGCGUCUUCCGCGCUGGGCCGUGCACAAGUCUCCUGGAAUGGAGCGUCAUAGAGGGUGAGAAUCCCGUCUUUGGCACGGACCCCCAGGGCUUCUGUGAUGCGCUCUCGACGAGUCGAGUUGUUUGGGAAUGCAGCUCAAAAUGGGUGGUGAACUCCAUCUAAAGCUAAAUAUUGGCGAGAGACCGAUAGCGAACAAGUACCGUGAGGGAAAGAUGAAAAGCACUUUGGAAAGAGAGUGAAACAGUACGUGAAAUUGUUGAAAGGGAAACGCUUGAAGUCAGUCGCGUCGACCGAGACUCAGCCUUGCCUCGGCUUGGUGUACUUCUCGGUUUGACGGGUCAGCAUCAAUUUUGACCCUCGGAUAAUGGCAAGGGAAAGGUAGCACCUUUUUAGGUGUGUUAUAGUCCUCUGUCGCAUGCGAGGGUUGAGAUUGAGGAACUCAGCAUGCACCUUCGGGUGUCGGGGCCUUGGCCCACGUUACGUGCUUAGGAUGCUGGCAUAAUGGCUUUAAACGACCCGUCUUGAAACACGGACCAAGGAGUCUAACAUACCCGCGAGUGUUCGGGUGGAAAACCCGUGCGCGUAAUGAAAGUGAAAGUUGGGACCUCUGUCGUGGAGGGCACCGACGCCCGGACCAGACCUUCUGUGACGGCUCUGCGGUAGAGCGUGUAUGUUGGGACCCGAAAGAUGGUGAACUAUGCCUGAAUAGGGUGAAGCCAGAGGAAACUCUGGUGGAGGCUCGUAGCGAUUCUGACGUGCAAAUCGAUCGUCAAAUUUGGGUAUAGGGGCGAAAGACUAAUCGAACCAU
rnacentral:rRNA from 1 species